CCUGCCCAGUGACCUAGUGUUAAACGGCCGCGGUAUCCUAACCGUGCAAAGGUAGCGCAAUCAAUUGCCCCAUAAAUCGAGGCUUGUAUGAAUGGCUAAACGAGGUCUUAACUGUCUCUUACAGGUGAUCGGUGAAAUUGAUCUCCCUGUGCAAAAGCAGGGAUAACAACAUAAGACGUGAAGACCCUGUGGAACUUCAAAAUCAGCAGCCACCCUAAAACACAUCCAAUCCCACUGGGUUCACGCAUUUAUAGGUAAUUGGCCUGCAUUUUUCGGUUGGGGCGACCUUGGAGAAAAACAAAUCCUCCAAAAAUUGGACCACACCUCCAGACUGAGAGCAACCUCUCAACGUGCUAAUAGCAACCAGACCCAAUAUAAUUGAUCAAUGGACCAAGCUACCCCAGGGAUAACAGCGCAAUCUCCUCCGAGAGUCCGUAUCGACGAGGAGGUUUACGACCUCGAUGUUGGAUCAGGACAUCCUAGUGGUGCAGCCGCUNNUAAGGGUUC
rnacentral:rRNA from 1 species